rnacentral:siRNA from 1 species
AUAGUCUCUCGAUUUUGCUCCAAG